rnacentral:rRNA from 1 species
UAUAGCUGAUAUGCAGUUCAGCUCGGAUGCAUCUCUAGCUCUAUCAGUAUGCCGGCGAGUGGCGAACGGGUGAGUAAUGCAUCGGAACGUACCCAGUCGUGGGGGAUAACUACUCGAAAGAGUAGCUAAUACCGCAUACGACCUGAGGGUGAAAGCGGGGGACCGCAAGGCCUCGCGCGAUUGGAGCGGCCGAUGUCGGAUUAGCUAGUUGGUGGGGUAAAGGCUUACCAAGGCGACGAUCCGUAACUGGUCUGAGAGGACGGCCAGCCACACUGGGACUGAGACACGGCCCAGACUCCUACGGGAGGCAGCAGUGGGGAAUUUUGGACAAUGGGCGCAAGCCUGAUCCAGCCAUGCCGCGUGCGGGAAGAAGGCCUUCGGGUUGUAAACCGCUUUUGUCAGGGAAGAAAAGCUCUGGGCUAAUACCUCGGAGUGAUGACGGUACCUGAAGAAUAAGCACCGGCUAACUACGUGCCAGCAGCCGCGGUAAUACGUAGGGUGCGAGCGUUAAUCGGAAUUACUGGGCGUAAAGCGUGCGCAGGCGGUUGUGCAAGACAGAUGUGAAAUCCCCCGGCUUAACCUGGGAACUGCAUUUGUGACUGCACGGCUAGAGUGCGGCAGAGGGGGAUGGAAUUCCGCGUGUAGCAGUGAAAUGCGUAGAUAUGCGGAGGAACACCGAUGGCGAAGGCAGUCCCCUGGGCCUGCACUGACGCUCAUGCACGAAAGCGUGGGGAGCAAACAGGAUUAGAUACCCUGGUAGUCCACGCCCUAAACGAUGUCAACUGGUUGUUGGGGAUUCAUUUCCUCAGUAACGAAGCUAACGCGUGAAGUUGACCGCCUGGGGAGUACGGCCGCAAGGUUGAAACUCAAAGGAAUUGACGGGGGACCCGCACAAGCGGUGGGAUGAUGUGGGUUUAAUUCGAUGCAACGCGAAAAAACCUUACCUACCCCUUGAACAUGCCCGGGAACCCUGCAAAAAAUGUGGGGGGUUGCUCCAAAAGAAGAGCCUGGGACACAGGUGGCCUGCAUGGGCCGUCCGUCAGCUUCGGGUUCGCGGAGAAUGUUGGGGUUAAAGUCCCCGCAAACGAAGGGCAAACCCUUGGCCAUUUAGUUGCCUACGAAAAGGGGCACUUCUAAAGGG